rnacentral:ribozyme from 1 species
UUAUAAUUUUGUUCUGUAAAAGGGUUGGAUCCGACGCCCCUAGAAGGCUACUAUAGGCUCUCCUUCUCAACUCCUACUCAAUACGUCCACG